GGUCUAUGAUAUCACCAGCAUGGUAGCUUUUCAGUUUUUUCACCAAGCUUAAUUAUUUUCAUCUGUCUUUACUCUUUUGCUUUUGGGGUUUAUUUCCUUGUCUUAUUUAUUGCAACUAGUUGCUUAAACUAAUGGAAUUAGACCUUGUAAAAUGCAAUCAUGACUGCAAUGAGUUUAUUUCAAUGGACAUAAGCUUAAUUAACUUGAAUGCCUCUUUAUGCAAGUCCUUCAAUUACUUGCAUGCCAACUUUCAUGAAGCUUUUAAGCUUUUUUCCUUGGGGAAAGGAAAAAAUGAUACAUCUUUUUAAGAAUACUUGUGUGUUGUCAGACAUAAUGGCUGUAUGGUUGGGACAUUCUGAGGUCAGACCUUGAUAAAGUGAUGCAUAUGGUUGGUCUUGUCUAUCAUUUAUUGAAAUACAAAUUAUAUGUCAAAUGAAGCAGAGAGUUUAAUGUGUCAAACAAUGCGAAA
rnacentral:misc_RNA from 1 species